rnacentral:rRNA from 1 species
UGGCGGACGGGUGAGUAACGCGUGGGUAACCUGCCUUACACUGGGGGAUAACACUUAGAAAUAGGUGCUAAUACCGCAUAAGCGCACGAAGCCGCAUGGAUUUGUGUGAAAAACUCCGGUGGUGUAAGAUGGACCCGCGUCUGAUUAGCUUGUUGGCGGGGUAACGGCCCACCAAGGCGACGAUCAGUAGCCGGCCUGAGAGGGUGGACGGCCACAUUGGGACUGAGACACAGCCCAAACUCCUACGGAAGGCAGCAG